UCAUCCACCUCCGAUGGCUUUUUAAUUUCACAAGAAAAGUAUAUCCAUGAUCUUCUUACUCGUGCGGCUCUUAGUGAUGAGCGCACUGUUGAGACUCCUAUGGAGCUCAAUCUUAACCUUCGUGCUUCUGAUGGUGAGCCCUUGUCUGAUCCGACGCGUUAUCGUCAUCUUGUUGGGAGUCUUGUCUAUCUUGCUGUCACACGUCCGGAUAUCUCCUAUCCUGUCCAUAUUCUGAGUCAGUUUGUUUCUGCUCCCACUUCAGUUCACUAUAGUCACCUUCUUCGUGUUCUACGAUAUCUUCGUGGCACAAUCUCUCGUCGUCUCUUUUUCCCCCUUCCAGCUCGUUACAGCUUCGGGCCUAUUCAGAUGCUACAUGGGCUAGUGAUCCUUCGGACCGCCGUUCACUUUCUGCUUACUGUGUUUUUUUGGUGGUUCUCUCAUUGCCUGGAAGACGAAGAAACAAACUGCAGUUUCUCGUUCGAGUGCAGAGGCCGAGUUGCGAGCUAUGGCUCUUCUGACGACAGAGGUGACUUGGUUACGGUGGUUACUGGAGGAUUUUGGCAUUUCUGUUAC
rnacentral:rRNA from 1 species